rnacentral:rRNA from 1 species
CUACGGGAGGCAGCAGUAGGGAAUCUUCCGCAAUGGACGAAAGUCUGACAGAGCAACGCCGCGUGAGUGAUGAAGGUCUUCGGAUCGUAAAACUCUGUUGUUAGGGAAGAACAAGUACCGUUCGAAUAGGGCGGUACCUUGACGGUACCUAACCAGAAAGCCCCGGCUAACUACGUGCCAGCAGCCGCGGUAAU